UCGACGGACUUAACUCAUUCUUUUAGAUUGAGAGCGGUUAGUGGCGGACUGGUGAGUAACACGUAAGCAACCUGCCUAUCAGAGGGGAAUAACAGUGAGAAAUCAUUGCUAAUACCGCAUAAGCUAGUAGUAUCGCAUGAUAUAGCUAGAAAAGGAGCAAUCCGCUGAUAGAUGGGCUUGCGUCUGAUUAGCUAGUUGGUGGGGUAACGGCCUACCAAGGCGACGAUCAGUAGCCGGACUGAGAGGUUGAACGGCCACAUUGGGACUGAGAUACGGCCCAGACUCCUACGGGAGGCAGCAGUCGGGAAUAUUGCGCAAUGGAGGAAACUCUGACGCAGUGACGCCGCGUAUAGGAAGAAGGUUUUCGGAUUGUAAACUAUUGUCGUGAGGGAAGAAAUUGACAGUACCUCAGGAGGAAGCUCCGGCUAACUAUGUGCCAGCAGCCGCGGUAAUACAUAGGGAGCAAGCGUUAUCCGGAUUUAUUGGGUGUAAAGGGUGCGUAGACGGGAAAUUAAGUUAGUUGUGAAAUCCCUCGGCUUAACUGAGGAACUGCAACUAAAACUGAUUUUCUUGAGUACUGGAGAGGAAAGUGGAAUUCCUAGUGUAGCGGUGAAAUGCGUAGAUAUUAGGAGGAACACCAGUGGCGAAGGCGACUUUCUGGACAGUAACUGACGUUGAGGCACGAAAGUGUGGGGAGCAAACAGGAUUAGAUACCCUGGUAGUCCACACUGUAAACGAUGGAUACUAGGUGUAGGAUGUAUUAAGCAUUCCGUGCCGCCGCUAACGCAUUAAGUAUCCCACCUGGGGAGUACGACCGCAAGGUUGAAACUCAAAGGAAUUGACGGGGGCC
rnacentral:rRNA from 1 species